CAGUAGCCGCGGUAAUACGAAGGGUGCAAGCGUUACUCGGAAUUACUGGGCGUAAAGCGUGCGUGGGUGGUGGUUUAAGUCCGUUGUGAAAGCCCUGGGCUCAACCUGGGAAUUGCAGUGGAUACUGGGUCACUAGAGUGUGGUAGAGGAUAGUGGAAUUUCCGGUGUAGCAGUGAAAUGCGUAGAGAUCGGAAGGAACAUCUGUGGCGAAGGCGACUAUCUGGGCCAACACUGACACUGAGGCACGAAAGCGUGGGGAGCAAACAGGAUUAGAUACCCCCGUAGUCCCUGUAUCUUAUAC
rnacentral:rRNA from 1 species